rnacentral:lncRNA from 1 species
AUUCAUUCUGUGUCAGAAACCUAUGCUGUGUCAACUAUUUAAUUUUAGAUUUAAAAAGUUUGAAGAAGAAAUCUUUAAUUGAUUUGUAAAAUCUUGACAUUUGUUUUGUGUAAAAAAAAACCAUGUAAUGUCAAAAAUUUGAUCACAAUCCAAAUUCAGAGCUGUAUCACGCUUGAAUGUUUUGUCCAUACUUGCCCCAACUGUUCAGGGUUCGACCUCUGCGGUCGUAUAAAGCUGCGCUCUGCGGAGCACCUG